rnacentral:rRNA from 1 species
UGGGGAAUUUUGCACAAUGGGGGAAACCCUGAUGCAGCGACGCCGCGUGAUUUAGAAGGCCUUCGGGUUGUAAAAAUCUUUUCUAUGGGAAGAAAAUGACAGUACCAUAGGAAUAAGGACCGGCUAAUUACGUGCCAGCAGCCGCGGUAAUACGUAAGGUCCGAGCGUUGUCCGGAAUCAUUGGGCGUAAAGCGAGCGCAGGCGGUUAGAAAAGUCUGAAGUGAAAGGCAGUGGCUCAACCAUUGUAGGCUUUGGAAACUGUUUAACUUGAGUGCAGAAGGGGAGAGUGGAAUUCCAUGUGUAGCGGUGAAAUGCGUAGAUAUAUGGAGGAACACCGGUGGCGAAAGCGGCUCUCUGGUCUGUAACUGACGCUGAGGCUCGAAAGCGUGGGGAGCGAACAGG